GGGAGUGUAGCUCAGUGGUAGAGCACCUGCCUAGUAUCUCCAGGCCCUGGGUUCAAUCCCUAGCAGUCCCA
rnacentral:tRNA from 1 species